rnacentral:lncRNA from 1 species
ACUCCUGGUUGAUGGGCCACCUUCCUCCACAUGGUGACUCAGGGAUCCAACCUGCAUCCAGCCUGUGGUAUCACUCUCCCCAGGGCCUCGGAGAGCCCACUCCUGGCUGGCAGUUGGAGGAUGACUGUGUAGAGACGAGACGGUGAUAUGGUUAGGCUUUGUGUCCCCACCCAAAUCUCAUCUUGAACUGUAAUCUCCAUAAUCGUCACAUGUCGAGGGAGAGACCAGGGAGGUGAUUGGAUCAUGGGGACCGUUUCCCCCAUGCUGUUCUCGUCACGGUGAGUGAGUUCUUUGAGAUCUGAUGGUUCUAUAGGGGGCUCUUCUCCCUUCGCUCAGUGCUUCUCCUUCCUGCUGCC